GGACACAAACAUCCGCUUACAAACACAUUGGCAGCGUUCGCAACAAACUUUAGGAGCCACGCGUGGGAGCCCUGCAGCUCCCGAGGCUCGGCUAUCGGGUUAGCAUUAGCCUGCUAGCGCCAGCCUGAGCUGAGCUGAGCUUCCUCACACCGAGUAGAUCUGUCAAAAGCUAACAAACUUACAGCUGGACAGUUCAGCACGUCAUGACUGAGCGCGUCAGAGGCACAAACUCUGCACCGAAACGCUUAGCUUUGCGUACGCGCAUGUGCACUGCUGUCAAAGCAAGCUAUUAAUACUGCAUUUUGUAGUAAUAUUUCUGACAGUUACUUUGCUGGGGCUCUGACAGACCCUGAAUGGUGGAGGAGCUCACUCAACUCAAUCACAGACAGCUGGACCACGCACUCCUCGAAGAGUUUGUCAGCUAAACACCACCACCACCACCGAGGCGCCAACUUACUAUCAACAAAACGUAAUUUAGUCGCACUGACGAAGGAAGACCAAGCAGGCGAAAAACGAAAGAACGAGAUAUGGUGACGUCGCCGUCGGAAGGUUUCGGCUAACGUCGGUCAUUUCCGGCGGAUCAAGCGGUCGAGUGACAAAUGGGGAGCUACAGUACAUGGGAGUUCAAAAGUUCACUGUGUUCGCUGGAACUACAUGGGAAAAACAGCUAUCAAGUAAAAAUAAAACAUUUUUUAAAAUGAAGGUAUGGAAAAGGACUUGAUUUAAUAAAUUAAUAUUGCACAAAUCAUCUGUUAGAUAUUAAGAUAUCAGUUUGCUUUACUGUUGAGUUGCUUAGGCUAUACAUGAUAUCAAAAAAGAUUUGAAAUGUUUAGAAUUGUUGAAUCUUUAAAUCCACAAUACUUGGCAUUAUUAGAUAACUGCGGCAUUUUCAACAAUUAAGAAAAAUAUGCAAUAAAAACCAAACAAGAUUUCAUUUAAUUUUAUUUAAAUUCUAUAUAGCUGCCCUAAAAACGACUCCAGAAUAAUAGAGAACAAAUGUAAACCAUUAAUGUUUAAAGAAAACACCAAGAAUUAUAAGGCCAUCGUGACUUUCUAACACAAUACAAUAAUAUCCUAUAAAGAAAAGUAGAAGUAAAGCAAUAUUUAAUGUAAAGUAUGAUGGCAUAAGCCUUAUGAUUUGGGGUAGCACUGUUCAUGAUAGCUUGUGUGUAGGAUUAAUAAAAUUGCUAAAAAAAAAUAUGAACAAUUCUUAAAUAGUAGAACAAGAACUUAUAUCUUACAUAUGAAUAAAAGCUGAAGGUUAGGAAUAGCAUCAAAGCGCAGUGUGACUGGUGAAAUGAACAAUGAAAGCAAUAACACAAACCCUAAAAAUAUAUAUAAGUAUAUACAUGAAUAAAACACUCCUAUCUAUUUGGAGAAGCAAAGAUAGAGGAAAGCUAAUAAAACCAAACCCUGUUUAAUUCUUUAAGUUUAUUACAUAACACAAUAAAAUCUAACAGUAGGAGCUAAAUCAUUACAUCUGUGGAUAAAAAAUAGAGCAAUAUAACUUCAGCACGGUUCAGCAAGUGGAGCUGAUGACCCUACACUGCCCUCUUGUGGCAAUGGGUAGAAACUGUUCUUCAAGUGCAAAGGCUGCUUUAGUCCGAGUAAAAUAGUUGCAAAAAAAAUGUAAUUGUACUUUUACUUUAUGUUUAACAUAUUAAUACAAGCCUUGCUUUCUAUCAGCAUCAAUUUCGAUACAGACAGGCUGACGAUUGCUUGGAAAUUACAGUUCUAAUCGGGGGUCAGGAAAUAAUUAGUUUAUGAAAGCCAGUUCCACACAUUAGACGCAAUAUCUAUAGAUGGCUACGUUAUCUUCUGCACUUAAAAACACAUUUUCUGCAACAUCCAGCUGUGGUGAAGCACAACGAGGGCUUCAGACACAGCCAUCUAUUUCUAUCAAUGACCACAAUAAAAACAAAAAGUAAAUAAAAUAAAUGUAAAAAAAAACACCUGGAGUGGUCAUACAGUUCCUUAAAAGAGUAUUCAUAUCCCUAUUACCUUUUGUUACACCACAAACACAAAUUUUAAUUUACUUCAUCUAGAUUUCAUGUGAAUGCAAACUAAUGCAUAACUUUAAUGGAAGCAGAUGAAAGAUAUGGCUGUAUAAUUAAUCAAUCCGUCUUCAUCCACUGAUCAGUGGUGGUGGACACAAUACUGGAAAUGAUGUGUUGUUAUAACUCACAUCAACUCUCACUAAGCUUUCAUGAGAAAACACCAUUUCACACACAAAGCUCCUGGAAAGGCUUCAAGGUCUUUUCAUCACAAAAACAGCACGCCAAAAAUACUUUUCAACAUGAAAACGAUCCCAGUCAAGAGAUCGGUCAUGAGUCAUUCAAGGAUAAGAUUCACAUUAUUAAGUAAUGUGGUUAGUUGUACUAGGAGGUACAAUUAAUCAUAAAGUUAUUCAUACCGUCUAGGUUUCUGUAUUGGAGAAAGCAGCCAUUGUGCACAGCCACUUUGGCUGUAGGCGUAUCAAAACCCAAGACUCCAAGGCUCCUAUUCUGUGAAGAGAGCAACACAUUCUGGUUUGCACAGCACAAAGUCACAGUAACAGUUGUUUGCAGCUUGCAAUAAGUCACAUAGAGGAAACAAGCUGAAGAAGGUGAGACCAUAAGUUAGCUUUCGAGUAUAGGAGGGAAAUUAACACCACUGAACACUCCAUUGACGCAUUAUGGUAGUGGCAGCAUCGUGCUGCGAUGUAUUUCAGGAUCAGGGAAGCUGGCCAUGGUGGGGUUUCAAUUAGAGGCUGCAAAAGAUUUCAUUUUGUGUCAUGUCAUUGAAUUGAUUGUUUUACUGUUUACUUCUGAGAAGAGGUUUUUAUGUCAAAAAGAUGUCGACAUAAAACCUGGCAUCGUCACGAAAGUUAAAAAUGUUCUUAACACUUGUGCAACAAAACGGAAGGAGAAAGAGUGCAUGUAUAAAAGCAAACACGCCAUCAGAUACAAAGGAAAUUCGAUUAAAAAAAAAAAUCCAUUCACUUUUAUUGACAAAUACAAUGAAAUGAUGCAGGCCACAUCCAAGAAAGCAGAUAUCUUUUCCACUAUUCAUUCGGAUACAUGAGGGAAACAAAAACAUAUUUUACUCAAGACAAAGUACAGUACAAAAACAUGUUUGGUGUCACAUCAAGAAUUAAGCAAAUGGACAACAGAUAACAAUAAAAUGAACUUUAACAAAUAGUACUUUGGCAGAAUGUCACAUAUUUUGCAAAAUAUGAAUGAUGAAAAUUGGAAUAUAAUGAAAAAGAUGUUAUUACUACAUUCUAAAUGAUUUCUUAGUUCUUUAAUUGGUACCUUGGUUCCAACUCAACAGAGCAUCUUUAUCAGCCUCUCUGGUGUUUUUGGGCUUGUACUUAAAAAAACUCAAUCAUAUUAAGCACCAUAGAAGUAACCAGAUUCCUGAUAU